rnacentral:rRNA from 1 species
AAAGGAAUUGACGGGGGCCCGCACAAGCAGCGGAGCAUGUGGUUUAAUUCGACGCAACGCGAAAAACCUUACCAGGGCUUGACAUCCUAUAGACGCGGCGGAAACGCCGCGGUGCUCGCAAGAGAAUAUAGAGACAGGUGGUGCAUGGUUGUCGUCAGCUCGUGUCGUGAGAUGUUGGGUUAAGUCCCGCAACGAGCGCAACCCUUAUGAUCAGUUACCAGCGGGAAAGCCGGGGACUCUGAUGAGACUGCCGUGGAUAACACGGAGGAAGGUGGGGACGACGUCAAAUCAUCAUGCUCCUUAUGUCCUGGGCUACACACGUGCUACAAUGGCCGUUACAAAGGGCAGCGAACCCGCAAGGGGGAGCGAAACCUAAAAAAGCGGUCUCAGUUCGGAUUGUGGGCUGCAACCCGCCCACAUGAAGUCGGAGUUGCUAGUAAUCGCGAAUCAGCAUGUCGCGGUGAAUGCGUUCCCGGGCCUUGUACACACCGCCCGU